rnacentral:rRNA from 1 species
GACGAACGCUGGCGGCGUGCUUAACACAUGCAAGUCGAACGGAAAGGCUCCAGCUUGCUGGAGUACUCGAGUGGCGAACGGGUGAGUAACACGUGGGUGAUCUGCCCUGCACUUCGGGAUAAGCCUGGGAAACUGGGUCUAAUACCGGAUAGGACCGCACUUUGGUGUGUGUGGUGGAAAGGUUUUUCUGGUGUGGGAUGAGCUCGCGGCCUAUCAGUUUGUUGGUGGGGUAAUGGCCUACCAAGACGGCGACGGGUAGCCGGCCUGAGAGGGUGGACGGUCACAUUGGGACUGAGAUACGGCCCAGACUCCUACGGGGGGCAGCAGUGGGGAAUAUUGCACAAUGGGGGAAACCCUGAUGCAGCGACGCCGCGUGGGGGAUGAAGGCCUUCGGGUUGUAAACUCCUUUCGCUAGGGACGAAGCUUUUUGUGACGGUACCUGGAGAAGAAGCACCGGCUAACUACGUG